rnacentral:rRNA from 1 species
GAUGAACGCUAGCUACAGGCUUAACACAUGCAAGUCGAGGGGCAGCAUGAAUAUUGGCUUGCCAAUAUUUGAUGGCGACCGGCGCACGGGUGAGUAACACGUAUCCAACCUUCCGGUUACUCGGGGAUAGGCUUUCGAAAGAAAGAUUAAUACCCGAUGUUGCGUAUCUUUCUCCUGGAAGAUACGCCAAAGGAUUCCGGUAACCGAUGGGGAUGCGUUCCAUUAGGCAGUUGGCGGGGUAACGGCCCACCAAACCUUCGAUGGAUAGGGGUUCUGAGAGGAAGGUCCCCCACAUUGGAACUGGGACACGGUCCUG